rnacentral:rRNA from 1 species
AGAGUUUGAUCAUGGCUCAGGACGAACGCUGGCGGUGCGCCUUAUGCAUGCAAGUCGAGCGAAGCUUUUCAGUAGUUUACUACAGAAAAUGACUGAGCGGCGAACGGGUGAGUAACGCGUGAGCAAUCUACCUUAGUUACAGGGAUAGCCCGAGGAAACUCGGAUUAAUACCCGAUAUUCUUUAUUUCUCGCAUGAGAAUAAAAGGAAAGGUCAGCCGAACUAAGAUGAGCUCGCGUUCUAUCAGCUAGUUGGUGAGGUAAAAGCUUACCAAGGCUACGACGGAUAGCUGGUCUGAGAGGACGAUCAGCCACACUGGGACUGAGACACGGCCCAGACUCCUACGGGAGGCUGCAGCAGGGAAUAUUGUGCAAUGAACGAAAGUUUGACACAGCGACACCGCGUGUGGGAUGACGGAUCUAGGUUUGUAAACCACUUUCAGGAGGGAAGAAAAUGACGGUACCUCCACAAGAAGCCCCGGCCAACUACGUGCCAGCCGCCGCGGUAAUU